AGAGUUUGAUCCUGGCUCAGAACGAACGCUGGCGGCGUGCCUAACACAUGCAAGUCGAACGGGGAUAAGUAGCUUGCUAUUUAUUCUAGUGGCGCACGGGUGAGUAACGCGUAGAUAAUCUGCCUUAGACUCUGGGAUAACAUCUCGAAAGGGGUGCUAAUACCGGAUAAGCCCACGGGGACGUGAGUUCUUGCGGGAAAAGGGGGCCUCUGCAUAUGCUCUUGAUCUAAGAUGAGUCUGCGUGCCAUUAGCUUGUUGGUAGGGUAAUGGCCUACCAAGGCGACGAUGGUUAGCUGGUCUGAGAGGAUGAUCAGCCACACUGGGACUGAGACACGGCCCAGACUCCUACGGGAGGCAGCAGUGGGGAAUUUUGCGCAAUGGGGGAAACCCUGACGCAGCAACGCCGCGUGAGUGAUGAAGGCUUUCGGGUCGUAAAGCUCUGUCUAGAGGGAAGAAGUGAUAUUCGGUUAAUACCCGGGUUUCUUGACGGUACCUCUGAAGGAAGCACCGGCUAACUCCGUGCCAGCAGCCGCGGUAAUA
rnacentral:rRNA from 1 species